GUGCUCACUUUGGUAGCACAUAUACUAAGAGUGGGGUGAUACAAAGGUUAGCAUGGACCCUGUGCAAGCAUGACACACAGAUCUGUUAAAGUGUUCCAUUUUUA
ensembl:snRNA U6 U6 spliceosomal RNA